CUGGGUGUAGGCCCCAACAGGGAGUCGGUCCAUCGGAUCCAGGGGCGGAUCGAGUGUCCGCACAGCGCUGCCACCAACGGCGGUUUCUCCCGGAAGGUGAACGGCGGUAAAUUCUGAAGGCAGGAACCGGCAAUAAAGAGAGAAAGAGCGGA